rnacentral:lncRNA from 1 species
AUGACAAAUUCUACAUGUCCAAAAUUGGCCCAGCUACUCAGGGGGCUAAGGCAGGAGAAUCGCUUGAACCCAGGAGGCAGAGGUAACGAAAACACAACAUAUCAAAACCUAUGAGAUACAGCAAAAGCAAUACUAAGAGAGAGGUUUAUCGCAAAAAAGUGGAGAAACUUCAAAUAAACAACCUAACAAUGCAUCUUAAAGAACUAGAAAAGCAAGAGCAAACCAAACCCAAAAUUAGUAGAAGAUACAAUAAAGAUCAGAUGAAAAACAAAUGAAAUAAAAUACAAAAGAUCAAUGAAACAAAGAGUUGGUUUCUUCAAGGUUUACAAAAAUUUGACAGCUCUUUAGCCAAACUAAGAAAGAAAGAGAGAACACCCAAACACAUAAAAUCAAAGAUGAAAAUGGAGACAUUGCAAUUGGUAGUGUAGAAAUUCAAAGGAUCAUUAGUGGUUACUAUAAGCAGCUAUAUGCCAUUAUACUGGGAAAUCUAGAAAAAUGAAUAAAUUUCUAGACACAUAUAACCUAUCAAGACUGACCCAGGAAGAAAUUCAAAACCUGAACAGACCACAGACAAGUAAUGAGAUUGA